UACGAAGGGGGCUAGCGUUGCUCGGAAUCACUGGGCGUAAAGCGCAUGCAGGCGGAUUGUUAAGUCGGGGGUGAAAUCCCGAGGCUCAACCUCGGAACUGCCUUCGAUACUGGCAAUCUUGAGUCCGGGAGAGGUGAGUGGAACUGCGAGUGUAGAGGUGAAAUUCGUAGAUAUUCGCAAGAACACCAGUGGCGAAGGCGGCUCACUGGCCCGGUACUGACGCUGAGGUGCGAAAGCGUGGGGAGCAAACAGG
rnacentral:rRNA from 1 species